rnacentral:tRNA from 1 species
GGAGGAGUGGCAGAGUGGUCGAAUGCAGCGGUCUUGAAAACCGUCGUGCGUGCAAGCGUACCGUGGGUUCGAAUCCCACCUCCUCCGCCA